GGUUUUAGGCAUUUAAUGAAAAAAAAAAUAAAAAAAAGACAAUUAUCCUUCAUAUUUGUUUUACUGGUUGCCCAAUUCCCAGACCCACAAAUGAGAGAGCACCAACUCUAUUUUCCUCUCUUCAAACCCUCCAAAUCCACACUAAAUCAAAGCCACCAUGGAGCUGUCCAGCAGCUGGGUGAGACCACCGCUUCAACGCCACCCAUGAACCAAUUGUUCGUUGAGAUGGGCAUCGACUACGACCAACACCGCAACAUGGGCAGGACAUUACUUACAGUUCAGCGUUUCGAAGAGGAAUCCUUAUAUGAUAACCUGCUGUUACAUUCGAGCAUAUGAAGCUAGAGAUCGAGCUAGAAGGGCCUCGUUUAUUCCAAAUGUGGCUGGAUAUCAAGAAGGUGUUAAAGUUGAAAACAGUAUCGGUGUCGUUAGAAUGAGACGGGCAUGGCGAUCUAAAAAUCCAACAUAUCUUACCCUUUCAAAAUAUAUACGUUUGCCACUAGUUAUGAGGCCUAGGGAGAUGCAAAAACAUGACACUACUUAUCAGAUUAUUGCCUACCUGCUAUACUCUCUUCAAAAUAUAGUAAGCAACAUUUUCUGUUGGUAGUAACAUGGGGUGAUAUUUUCCAUUACCUUUUCAUGUAUGAAUUUGUGGAGAAACUGUUUCUUUUAAGCUUAGCUCAAUUCAUUGUGAAGAAACAAUCUAAACUUUAACUUGUCAGUUAUCAGAUGUUUAACUACCUGCUAUUCUUUUUCCAAAUCCGCAAAAAAACUACAAACCAAACCAAAUUAUUGGAUCCGACUAUCUUAAAAGGCUAUUGGUUAAGCUUGCAUGUUUCCGAAGGAAUGAUAUAUAAAUCCAAACUCAACAGCAUUGUUUCUUCGUCACGAAGCAAUGAGAUUACAAGUGAUUUUUUUUUUUUUUUUUUUACAUUUUUUCAAUGAUAAUUCUCGAGACUGAAUCACUGAAUCCGCAAUGUAAGAGUCGAGCGACAUUUUAUCCAAGUCAAGAGAUCCCAUAUAUUGGAUUUUGGGACGGAAAAGUGAUUGAUACUUUGCGUAGAGAAAGAAGAGAAAAUGUGAAAAUGAAAAUUGAAAUCUGAAAUUGAUUUUAUGCCGUCCUGAUUUUAAACUCUGUUUUUUUUUUAUUUUUCUCUCUUUGAAUAUCAGUUUUCUUCUGAAAAAAAUAAAAACAAUUAUUGUUGUAAUUAAUAUUUAUUAUGUGGCUGUUCACUUUAGAGUCAAUAUGUAAUAUGUAAUUAGUUAGGACAUUUUUUAUGUAAAUCCUACACUUAUAAAUAGGCACUCGAAUGGGAACAAAAAUACAUUUUGAUUUCUCCUCCCCAUCUCUUUCGUUUCUCUCUAUAUUUCCUUGUUCUCUAAAAUAUUACCGAAAACGAAAUGAUUAUCAAACUAGUUCAAGUCUUUGCCGCUAGUCUACAGUAUAGUGGCAUUCUUCUAGCAUUUUCAAUAUAGAGAUGCAAAUUUGCGAUGUAAAGGUUACAUUUAUAUCUUAUUUUGCAUUUUUAGAAUGUGUAAAUAUGAGUUUUAAUGGAGAAAUGAAAAUUUGAGAUUCUAGGUACUUUUCUCUCAUAUAGAGGGGUCCAUCUCCUGAAGGUGUAAAAAAAUUUACAUUUUUACAUUUUUCAAUUAAAAUGAGUGUUGCACAAGACUUUCCUACCAUUGAAAAUGAAAAUGCUCAUUCCAAGAUAUUUUGCUAUUGUUUAGAGAUGCUCUUAGUCGUUAGCUCACAUCUCAUAGUGUCUCGACGCAAACCCCCUUCUCCUAUAGAAAGAACUAGGAGAAUGUCACAAGUGAUGCAUGUGCAGUGAGUCAAUAAAAUGAGUUAUUUGUAAGUGAGUCAUAUUACUAAAUUAGCCCUAGUCUUGUUUUGGAUGGGUGAGAAUUAAGAAUGAAUAUUUUGGGGAAUCUCCAAGAGAGGAAAAGUGGGAUGUUGUAUUUCCAGGAUUGGAUUUCACAUUCGAAUGAACCUCAUAAUCUUAAGAAAGUAGGUUUUUAACAACACUAAAAAUUGUAGGGAAGGUGUUUGAUAUUGUUAAAAGAAGGACAGAAGGGCCCAAGUUGCUUUUGAGUUGCAUCUGCAACUCUCCAGAUGUGUUGAGUUGCAGCCGCCACUUUAGUUGCUUGUAACUAGUACAAAUCAAUCAAUCUAUCUUGUAACUUGCAUCUAGGGCUAGCUGUUUUAUCUAUUGGUUCCUUCAGUGGUAUGUUGCCCUAGUUUGUCCAAAGGCUUUCAGCCUUGCUCGGUCUCUCUAUAAGAGCCCCCACUUGUAAAUCAAACAUAUGAUGAAAUACAUACCAAAAGUUUAAGCAAGAA